rnacentral:sRNA from 1 species
CCCUAGCCCCGAUUGUCGCGGCAUCCUUUUGGGUUGCGGGCGGAGCGAAGCGGAGCCCGUAACCAAAAAGAUACAGCAGAAAGCGGGAAAGAGC